rnacentral:lncRNA from 1 species
ACUCGUUGAAAAAGUUGGCACUUGCGUUUGGAGGCAGUGGCUGAGACGACUAUGUAACAGUGUCGAAACUCGCAGGGCAUGAGAGAUCAAGAAAAUAUAGCAGAAAGAGCCUUUGCAGUUAUUGUUGUCAGCGUGAAGAACAAUUGUGACGAAGAUGGGGUAAUGGGAGAAGGAAAUAGGAUAGCAAAGGGUUUAGGAGCGAUGUACCGGUGCAAGGGCACAAAGAACGAAGAGAUGGGAGCAAGCUUUCGAGACGAUGUAUCGGCAUGAGAGCACAAGCAACGAAGAGAUGCAAGGAAGGUAGAAAGCAUAUAAAGAAAUGGGUCAGCAUUCAUUGUAUGGGUCUAUCACCGACCAAUAGGAAGGAUGCAGAUGGACCCCACCACCAUAGCCCAAAUUGUUGAGGUUUCGCCACGUGGAAUUAGAAUCAUGAGGAUUAAUAGAUUUUACUAGUGUAGGAACCCGCGCGAUGCGGCGGAUAGAAUUUUUUAAUAAAAAUAUAUAUAUUAAAUAAAUAAAUAUAAUCAUAAAUAUAAAUAUAAAGAAAAAAUAAAAGAAUAUAAUCAAGUCAAAGCUGUAAAAUAUGAAAUUAUCAAUUUUCAAU